rnacentral:tRNA from 1 species
GGAGAGAUGCUCGAGUGGCUGAAGAGGCACGCCUGGAAAGCGUGUAGGCGUCAAAAACGUCUCGGGGGUUCGAAUCCCCCUCUCUCCG